rnacentral:rRNA from 1 species
CAAUAGCGUAUAUUAAAGUUGUUGCGGUUAAAAAGCUCCUAGUUGGAUUUCUGCCGAGGACGACCGGUCCGCCUUCUGGGCGUGCAUCUGGCUUGGCCUGGGCAUCCUCUUGGAGAACGUGUCUGCACUUGAUUGUGUGGUACGGUAUCCAGGAUUCUUACUUUGAGCAAAUUAGAGUGUUUCAAGCAGGCGUUCGCCUUGAAUACAUGAGCAUGGAAUAAUAAGAUAGGACCUCGGUUCUAUUUUGUUGGUUUCUAGAGCUGAGGUAACGAUCAAUAGGGAUAGUUGGGGGUAUUCGUAUUUAAUUGUCAGAGGUGAAAUUCUUGGAUUUGUUAAAGACGGACUGCUGCGAAAGCAUUUGCCAAUGAUGUUUUCAUUGAUCAAGAACGAAAGUUAGUGGAUCGAAGACGAUCAGAUACCAU